rnacentral:lncRNA from 1 species
AAGGGCGCCCCAUUGGUAUUUGAUCUUGCCCCCGCUUUUUUCAUGGAAAAUGGAAGGGUUAAUUUCUCCAUUCAUUGAACCCUAGUUCGGGACUGACGGGGCUCGAACCUGCAGCUUCCGCCUUGACAGGGCGGUGCUCUGACCAAUUGAACUACAAUCCCCGCGGGGUGUAUGGCAUACCUAUCCUAUCCUUAAAUAGAAGAAUAAGAAGAUUCGAUUCGUCUGUCGUACUCUAAGAAAUAGACGAAUCAUAUACUACAUACCCACAUAUUAUAUGUGGGUAUUGUGAGAGUGACAUAACUAAUAUGUCGUGAUUUUUUAUCACUAAAAAUGAAGGGUAAUCCACCUUUCAAUAAUAAAAACUCUUUUGUUUGUAAGAAAGGAAUGAGAGAGAUAUGGAUUAGAAAUUGAAUUUCCCCUUUUUUUCUUUCUCUUUUAUUUCUAUAGAUCAGACAUUUGUUUAUGGAAGAAAAAUAAAAAGAUUUAGUUCAUAUUCACGAAGCCCCAGAUUUUUGGGCCGAGCUGGAUUUGAACCAGCGUAGACAUUUUGUCAACGAAUUUACAGUCCGUCCCCAUUAACCGCUCGGGCAUCAACCCAGGAAGAAUUUUUUCUAGGGUUUUUGAUAAUCUAUGAUUAAUCUCCUUUCAUAAUACUCCCUACCCCCAGGGGAAGUCGAAUCCCCGCUGCCUCCUUGAAAGAGAGAUGUCCUGAACCACUAGACGAUAGGGGCAUCACUAGACGAUAGGGCCAUAUAUAACCGCUCGUGAUUAUACUAUAAUCAUAGUAUGAGCAAAUUUUUUUGAAUUGUCAAUAUACUCGAAGAGUAUAACAAGAUCCAAAGUAAAGAAUUUUUGCUACUUUGCUGUUAUGUUUUCAUAGGAUUUUUUUAAUUCAUGCUUAGAUUAAUUCAUGGGUCAUCCCCUACUUUAUUAGGGAAAUUCCUUUAAAAGGUAGAGAAUAAGAAUCGAUUACUAAAAGGAUUCUAGAUUAGUUCAGUAUAGGUAGUCAUUUGAUUGAUCUAAGAUGAAAAAGAGUCAAAUUUCAUUUAUUUUUUGCAAUUUAGAUUCCGUGCUUCAUUUAGUGUUCAGACCAAAAAUGCAUGCAUCUCGCACUAAGUCAUAAAAUUCAAUAAAAAAUAGAGAAAGUUUCAAAAACAAAGUAAAAAGUAAAUGAAUUUAGUAGAAAAGUAUUCUAUCAGAUUCGAACCGAUGACUUAUGCCUUACCAUGCCAUUACUCUACCACUAACUUUAAAAGCCCUUUAUCGGAUUUGAACCGAUGACUUACGCCUUACCAUGGCAUUACUCUACCACUGAGUUAAAAGGGCUUUUUUUUUAAUUCAAAAAUGAGCCACUUUCAUUUCCCAUUCUGGGUCUACUGCAUAAUGUACAUAAGAUAUGUAGAUAUCCAUAUAUCUAUAUAAGUUUAUUCAUCGUGAGGUUCAAAAUAUUGAUAAAAUCAAUAAAAAUAAGAAAAUAUUUGCUAUUAUCUCUUAUAACUUGCAUAAAACAAAGUAGAGAUCCUUUUUUAUAUAAUAAAAUGCGUGAAGAGAAAGUUGACACAAUAAAAAAUAAUAAACCAUACCCUAUACAUACCUAACUCUUCUUAAUUCAGGGUUUUUCGUUUCCGAAGACUAGGAAAAUAGGCGGAUUCUGGAACCCUAAGGAUUCGAUGGUAUAUGGCUAUGGAAAAUAUAAGAUUUUUGAUCCUAGCGGGAAAAGGAACGGAACAGAUACCCAAUAUGAUUCUUGGGAGGAACAUUUCGUAAUGGUCUUGAUCCUCUAUGCUCUUUUUUAUGUGUUGCUAGUUCGAUUGCACUUUUUUGAUUCUUUUAAACAAAACAAGAAUCUACUAAACCAGAAUUGAAAUUGAGUGAGUGGAAAAAAGGGGUUUAUAGGGACAGUUCAGAUGCUAUUGGCAUGGUAAGAAGAGGUGUAUUUUACAGACCAUAGGGGUUAUCGAAAUCCUAAAGUAAAGGCCUGCAAUCGAAGUAGAAGUACCAACGGCUCACUGCCAUGAACCUUCUCCAUUUGAUUCACUAAGGGGAAAUUCACCUGCUUCUCGAAUGGGUAUCAUUGACAAAGGGUUGCGUUUGUAUCAUAAUCUACAUGUAGCGGGUAUAGUUUAGUGGUAAAAGUGUGAUUCGUUCUAUUAAUAACUGAAUUAAAAUGAUAUACUUAAGGCAUCCUUAAGUUUUUUUCUAUUCCGAUGAAAACUUUAGUUCUUAUAAAGGAUUUCAUCCUUUUCCUCUCAAUAGCGUAUUGAGGAACAAUAUACAUUCUCGUGAUUUGUAUAAUUGAAAUUGCAUCCAAAAUACAAAUAGGAUUAUGAGUACAGAGUCGCGAAGCAUAAUUUUACAUUGGAUUAAGUAUUCCAUAUAUUAAAAAUAUGAGUAAAGGAUCUAUGGAUGGAGAUACAAAAAAGUUUUUUCCAAUCGUAACUAAAUCACCUUUACCUUCAAAACGGGAAAAGGAAGCCAAAUAGCUAAAAGCGGUAGUUUUGGUUUACUAGAACCAUCAGCAUAUUGUUUAAGCUCGGUGGAAACCCAAUUCUUUUCCUCAAGGAUCCCUUGAAUGAAAUUAGGGAACGAAGUAAGUAGAUUAGAUGGAUUUAGAUCGAAUUUCUAUCUCCUUACUCUAUAAGGAUCAUCUAGAAAGCGGAGAGCUUUGGUUCUAUUCAAAUAGAAAAGCUGACAUAGAUGUUAAGUGGUGAGAAUAUCCAUAAAGGAGCCGAAUGAAAUGAAAAUUUCAUGUUCGGUUUUGAAUUAGAGACGUUAUAAAUAAUCAACCAACGUCGACUAUAACCCCUAGCCUUCCAAGCUAACGAUGCGGGUUCGAUUCCCGCUACCCGCUCCAUUCUGUAUAUGUAUAAAAGGAGUAUUCCAUUUGUCUAGACCUGUAUAAAAGGAGUAUUCUAUUUGUCUAGACAUAGUUGAGGCCCGUAUUUAACCUUUUCCGUUCACCAUUUUCUGCUACUGCAGAGCGGAGUAGAGCAGUUUGGUAGCUCACGAGGCUCAUAACCUUGAGGUCACGGGUUCGAUUCCCGUCUCCGCACUUAGCAGUCUCUAUAAAAGGACUAUUCCAUUUCUAUAUAUAUGGUACAGGGUUGGGUGGUAUCCAAUCCAAUUUUUUUAUUCAUUACUUCCUGGCCUUAGAGGGCAAAAUUGAGCAGUCUGCGAAGCCGCCUGCCUCCAUAAGAAGAACAGGCAAGGUUUCUCCCUACCCUGCAGAAAAGAAAAAUGAAAGAAACGCACAGUCUACCUCCCUUCCCUUUAAAAGCAGUUUGCCAGUUCUUUGUCUCAGUGAAUACCCCCCUGUUGGCGAGUUCUAUUUCCCUCUCCGGAGCCCUCCUUUUUUUGAGUGGGGUGAAAAGUAAGGGUAAUAAGGGAUAGGGUACUAGACUAACACCUAAUUAAUAUAUAAUUUAUUCUAAGUAGUUAAACAUUCAACUAGACUAAAUUUUUUCUCAUAGUACUUGACUAAAGUAAGCGGGCAAGCGGCGGGAAUCGAACCCGUAUCUUCUCCUUGGCAAGGAGAUGUUUUACCAUUGAACUACGCUCGCUACGGAAUAUAUUUUAUAGCGUAUAUCCGCUUGUGUCGACCGUCUAUGUCUGGGUCGACCGUUUCAUUUUCUAUUAUAUUAGAGUUUUCCUUUUUUUGAUUGUCUGUCAAUCAAUAUUCUAAUGGCAAUGCAAUUUCAUAAUACUGAAAGAGAAGAGGUAGCAAUUCGGAACGCAAAUUGCGUUUUAAUGUGUCUCACUAUUUGAAUUUUUUCGAAGAAAUGUCCUUUUUAUUUAUUUUGUAUCGGGUUACUCAAUACUAAACAAAUUUAUGAAAUGAGAGAAUUCAGAAUAGCUACGAGAAAGACUAGACCAAUCCAUAAUGAUGUAUCGGAAAAAACAACGUUUUUAUUAUUUGACCAACCAUCAGGAGAAGCAAAUACAAGGGGUACACUAAUUACUAAGACUGAGGAAGUCGCAAUUAAUGCAAAAACAGCUAAUUGGAAAGCAAUAGUCAUAUUUCUAAUCCUCAAGCUAUCAUCAAAUAAAGUUGACUACAUAUUUGAUCCCUCACUUAACCUAAAUUGUAAAAAAUACAAGAAGUAGAAGGGGUUUAAUCAUGAAUCCAUUGAUUCUUCUCUUUAAUUAAUAAUUAAAACUUAUUACUUACCGCUUUUAUUUGGAUAUGGGGAUUAGGGUAGGGGAUUUAGUCUUUAUUUCAAAAGCGGGUAUAGCGGAUCUUCUAUCCGUGUAUACAGUAUACAGAAAUAUAUCGAAAAAGGAUUUGCAUCUGAGAUGUUUCUAGAGGUUAGUAGAUCCUUUUAUUUUUAUAUGGCUGUGUUCUAUUUCUAGGAUUAAAGAAAAAGGGAGUAAUCGAAGAAUUAGAGAAAGAUCUACAAAAAGAAAUUAACUCUGUAAACCAGAGAAUUAAUAUUUCUAUCGAAAAAGUUAAAGAGCCUUAUAGACAACCUAACAUUCUUGCAGAAUAUAUAGCUUUUCAAUUAAAAAAUCGAGUUUCAUUCCGAAAGGCAAUAAAAAAAGCCAUUGAAUUAACUAAAAAAGCAGAUAUAAGGGGAGUCAAAGUAAAAAUAGCGGGUCGUCUCGGAGGAAAAGAAAUUGCACGUGCGGAAUGCAUCAUAAAGGGUAGACUUCCUCUCCAAACAAUUCGCGCUAAAAUUGAUUAUUGUUGCUAUCCAAUUCGAACUAUCUAUGGAGUAUUAGGUGUAAAAAUUUGGAUAUUCGUAGAUGAAGAAUAACUAAUCUUGUCUUCGCAUUCUGUGCAGUGAUAGAAUAAAAAAUGACAAGAGCCUGUUUUCCUGAAAUCCCUAAAAGAAAGAAGAAAUUAUACCUCUUUCUAUAAGAUUUAAUGAAAAUUGAUAAAUCAUUUAAUAUAAUUGCUAUGCUUAGUGUGUGACUCGUUAUUUUUUCUUUAAAAAAAUAAAAAAAUUUAGUAAUUAUAGAAAAUUAACUAAUAACCAACCUAUUGCUUCGUAUUGUCGAGAUCCUAACUAAGAAGCAGUCACUAUCUGAAUAAAUAUCUCUAUCAUAAAUGAGUAGAUCUAUCAUAUAGUUGUAGCAACUGCAAUUUUUUCUCUAAAAAAGAAACGAGAUUCUAGGUUCUGAAGCAAAACUAAAGGGAUGUAGAUAAAGGGAAAGAUGAUAGAAAGAAGAAUAAGUAAGAUAUAGGAUUCCAAUAUGUAUGGUCUAUGAAUUGCAUCAAAAAAGGCAAUGUGAUAAAGCAUCAAUAUAAUAUAAUAAAAAUAACAGAGAAUUAGAAAUCGUAACUUGAAACAAGAACUACAAAUUUAAAGCAAUAAUUAAAGAGCCACCCGGGUUAAUAAAACUGAGAAAAUUAACUCGAAAAGACAUUUUUUUGAAGCUCCGUUGCGGGAUUCAGACCUAACCAUUCAAGGAGAAGCAGUGGGAACGACACAACCUAUGACUCCAUAGGAUUUUAUUGCAAAGAAUCCAAAAACCUCAUUGGACGGGAUGGCGGAACAAACCCCAAAAAUUGUCUUAUUUGGUAAGGUUAUAAAUUACCAAAUAAGACAGGAAUAGAGUAAAUAUUCGCCUGCGAAAUCCUUAUUGAAUUAGAAUACUUUACCGCAAUUCAAUAAUUCAAUAAAUUCAAUAAAAGUAAAAAGAAAGAUAUUUUUUUAAGAAGGAUUACGUUAAAAAUAGAAUAUAGAUAAAUAGACACACACAUCUAGAUAUAUUCUAGAUCUUCUUUCUUGACUAUAUAUUUUUCUAUUUGAACAAAAUUAACUAUGAAAAAUAAAAAAAAACUAACUUUUUCUAUUACCUAUUAAUGUGUAUCUAUCCAUAAUAUUUUUGAAUAUUAUGGAAUUAGAGCAAUUUGCACGCUUUCUCAUUUAAUUCGCGAGGAGCUGGAUGAGAAGAAACUCUCAUGUCCAGUUUUGCAGUAGAGAUGGAACUACGAAAGAACCAUCGACUAUAACCCCAAAAGAACCAAAUUUCGCAAACAACAUAGAGGAAGAAUGAAAGGAAAAUCCUGCCGAGGCAAUCGUAUUUGUUUUGGUAGAUAUGCUCUUCAAGCACUUGAACCCACUUGGAUCACGGCGAGACAGAUAGAAGCGGGACGAAGAGCAAUAACACGAUAUGCACGUCGUGGUGGAAAAAUAUGGGUACGUAUAUUUCCCGACAAACCAGUUACACUAAGACCCACAGAAACACGUAUGGGCUCGGGAAAGGGGUCCCCCGAAUAUUGGGUAGCUGUUGUUAAACCAGGUCGUAUACUUUAUGAAAUGGGUGGAGUAUCCGAAACUGUAGCUAGAGCAGCUAUCUCCAUAGCUGCCAGUAAAAUGCCCAUACGAAGUCAAUUUAUUCGAUUAGAGAUAUAGAACCCCCAAAACGGGUUUUUCUUUCUGGAAAGACAAUAUUUCUUUCAUCCUUUUGCAUCGAAAUAAAAAAUUGAAAUCCAAAUAAUAUGAUUCAACCUCAGACCCUUUUAAAUGUAGCAGAUAAUAGUGGAGCUCGAAAAUUGAUGUGUAUUCGAGUCAUAGGAACUGCUGGUAAUCAGCGAUAUGCUCGUAUUGGUGAUGUUAUUGUUGCUGUAAUCAAAGACGCAGUGCCCCAAAUGCCUCUAGAAAGAUCCGAAGUAAUUCGAGCUGUAAUUGUACGUACAUGUAAAGAGUUCAAAUGUGAAGACGGUAUAAUAAUCCGCUAUGAUGACAAUGCAGCGGUUAUAAUUGAUCAAAAAGGAAAUCCAAAAGGAACUCGAGUUUUUGGGGCGAUCACCGAGGAAUUGAGAGAAUUGAAUUUUACCAAAAUAGUUUCAUUAGCUCCUGAAGUAUUAUAAAUACUAGUAGGCGAAAUUUAGAUCAAAGAGUGAAUUAGUAGAUUGUGUUUCAUGUAUAUGUUUUAAAAUCUAAAAUGAAAAGAAAAAAAGAAAACAUGUUGAUUAUAGAAAAAUUGGGAGGAACCUAGAAUUAGAAUCUUAUGGGCAAAGACACUAUUGCUGAUUUACUAACCUCUAUAAGAAACGCGGACAUGAAUAAAAAAGCAACAGUUCGAGUAGUAUCUACAAAUAUUACUGAAAACAUUGUAAAAAUACUUCUACGAGAGGGUUUUAUUGAAAGUGUUCGGAAACAUCAGGAACGUAACAGAUAUUUCUUGGUUUUAACUUUGCGACAUCAAAAGAGAAAGACUAGAAAAGGAAUAUAUAGAACAAGAACUUUUUUAAAGCGUAUCAGCCGACCCGGCUUACGAAUUUAUACCAACUAUCAAGGAAUUCCUAAAGUUUUGGGUGGAAUGGGAAUUGCUAUUCUUUCUACUUCUCGAGGGAUAAUGACAGAUCGAGAGGCUCGACUAAACAGAAUUGGGGGAGAAGUCUUAUGUUAUAUAUGGUAAUCGCCUUGCCUAUAGUGCCCGAAUUCUCUCUCGAACUUCCUAUUAUUCAAACAAAAAGAAAAAAUAGCAGAAAAAAAAAUGACAGAAAAAAAAUAGGUGAGAAAAGAAAAACCCGAGAGAAGCAAAAGUAACUUUCGAAAGUUUAGUUACGGAAGCCCUACCCAAUGGAAUGUUCCGCGUUCGUCUAGAGAAUGACACCAUCAUCCUGGGCUAUAUUUCAGGAAAGAUUCGGUCUAGUUCUAUACGAAUACUGAUGGGGGAUAGGGUCAAAAUUGAAGUAAGUCGUUAUGAUUCAAGCAAGGGACGUAUCAUUUAUAGACUUCCCCAUAAGGAUUCGAAGCGUAUCGAAGACUCGAAGGAUAGCGAAGAUUUGAAGGAUAGCGAAGAUUUGAAGGAUUAGGUUUUUCUUUUUUCUAGAAUAAUAAAUGCAAAGUUCAAAAAUUACAGCGAAGAGACUUAUUUUUUCCAAAAGAUUAGAUUCAUGGUUUAAGAAAGGAUACGGAAAUAUGAAAAUAAGAGCUUCCGUUCGUAAAAUUUGUACAAAAUGUCGACUGAUUCGUAGGCGUGGCCGAAUUAGAGUCAUUUGCUCCAACCCGAAACAUAAACAAAGACAAGGAUAAUCUUUCGAAAAAGCACUUUACUUUCUAAAAAGUAAAAAAAAAGAAUACCUACGGGAAUGUUUAAAUUAAAAAUAAAAUAAUUUGAAAUAAUUAAAGUAAAGGGUAUAUUUUACCCUGAAACGGAUAUCUUUGUAUCUUUUAUUUAUUUAUUUUUACUCAUAUUUAUGAGAUUUAUGAGAUAAUAAAAUAUGGCAAAAGCUGUACCAAAAAUAGGUUCACGUAAGAGAGUGCGUAUUGGUUUACGUAGGAAUGCACGUUUUAGUUUACGGAAGAGUGCACGUAGAAUAACAAAAGGGGUUAUUCAUGUUCAAGCUAGUUUCAACAAUACCAUUAUAACUGUUACAGACCCACAAGGUCGAGUGGUUUUUUGGUCCUCUGCGGGUACUUGUGGAUUCAAAAGCUCAAGAAAAGCAUCACCCUAUGCUGGUCAAAGAACAGCAGUCGAUGCUAUUCAUACAGUAGGUUUACAACGAGCAGAAGUUAUGGUAAAGGGCGCUGGUAGUGGAAGAGAUGCCGCAUUACGAGCCAUUGCUAGAAGUGGUGUGCGCUUAAGUUGUAUACGCGAUGUAACACCUAUGCCGCAUAAUGGAUGUCGACCGCCUAAAAAAGGCGUCUGUAAAAGAAUUAACCCGCUUUCAAGAGAAAUAAACGAUUCAAUGAUCAAAUAAUAAUACUAGUCUAUUAUGGUUCGAGAGGAGGUAGCAGGAUCCACUCAAACAUUACAGUGGAAGUGUGUUGAAGAGUAGAUAGUAAGCGUCUUUAUUAUGGUCGUUUCAUUCUGUCCCCGCUUAUAAAAGGUCAAGCGGAUACCGUCGGUAUUGCCUUGCGAAGAGCUUUACUUGGAGAAAUAGAAGGAACAUGUAUCACACGUGCAAAAUUUGGAAGCGUGCCACACGAAUAUUCUACAAUAGCGGGUAUUGAAGAAUCCGUACAAGAAAUUUUAGUAAAUUUGAAAGAAAUUGUAUUGAGAAGUAAUCUCUAUGGAGUUAGAGACGCAUCCAUUUGCGUCAAAGGUCCCAAAUGCAUAACUGCUCAAGAUAUCAUCUUACCACCUUCCAUAGAAGUCAUUGAUACGGCACAGCCUAUAGCUAACUUGACCGAGCCCAUUGAUUUCUGUAUUCAGUUACAGAUCAAGAGAGAUCGUGGAUAUCAGACGGAACUUAGAAAGAACUAUCAAGAUGGAAGUUAUCCUAUAGAUGUUGUAUCCAUGCCUGUUCGAAAUGUGAAUUAUAGUAUUUUUUCUUGUGGGAAUGGAAAUGAAAAACACGAGAUACUUUUUCUCGAAAUAUGGACUAAUGGAAGUUUAACCCCUAAGGAAGCGCUUUAUGAGGCUUCUCGUAAUUUGAUUGAUUUAUCAUAAUAAAAUGGAUUUUAGGUAUCUAGGGAAAAUUCACUUCGAAGUAACUAUUUCCUAGAUACCUAUGCACGGUACCUCACGGUUGAAUGAAUCAACCUGAAAAAUACCUAAAAAAGGCCUAAAGUUAAGGAUUUAUCAAUGGGUAAUGUUGCUCCAAUACCUAACCAAAGAGCUACUGCAGUACCGAUUAAAAAAACGGUCGUAGCUACCGGGCGACGAAAUGGAUUUUGGAAUUUGUUGACAUUUUCUAGAAAAGGUACUGUCAAUAAGCCUGUUGGCACAGAAACCAUUAAGAGAACGCCCAAUAACUUAUUGGGUACCAUACGGAGUAUUUGAAACACGGGAAAGAAGUACCACUCGGGUAAUAUUUCCAAAGGAGUUGCAAACGGAUCCGCGGGUUCACCAAUCAUUGAUGGCUCGAGAACAGCUAAACCUACAUUACAUGCAAUAGUACCUAGAAUUACUACUGGAAAAAUAUAUAAAAGAUCGUUGGGCCACGCGGGUUCGCCGUAAUAAUUAUGUCCCAUCCCUUUAGCUAAUUUUGCUCUUAAUACAGGAUCAUUUAAGUCUGGUUUCUUUGUUAUUGGGAUAGGUGAACUCUUUAGGAUCCAUCCCCCAAAGGAACCGGACAUGAGAAUUUAUCAUCAUCCGGCUCGAGCAAUAAAGAAAGAAAUAAGACCGCGGAAGAUCCAUAAUAAUAAUAGAAUAAGGUAUAUAAUUACUCAAUGACUCUAGGCAAGAAAAGCUUUAUCAGAUUAUCUUUUCCGAAGUUGCACCUACAACUACUCAUUGAAAAUAAUCCUAUUCUUAUGGGUAAAUGCUCAAUAUCCAAGUGGGCUUACAAAUUUGAUCAUGAUCAAUUGCUUUGUGGAUUGUCUCAUGUCUCUUGAUUAGUUGGUCUUUAUCCCCUCACUAUCGCAAGUUUCUUACGCCCAAACAAAGUAUUUACUUGUUACUAAUAAAAAAAUCAAAAAGUUUAGCCUAUGCUCUUCCUUAGAUCCCUUCUUUUACUCCGAUAGUAUUGCGAAUCGCAAUCGAUGCAAAGAAAAUGAAUGCAUUUCCAUACCAUAAUAAAAAAAGGUAAGUGUAAUAAAUAGAGAAUUGGAUCAUGUCACAUGACUUAUUCCAUUUCUACUCUAUGGGACCUUACGGAGCCUUUUCAUGGAUGACAUGGUUGGGGUAUGAUCAUAGAAAAUAUUCUCCUCAAGUGAACCAGCCUAUCCUUCCUAGGUAGGGGACUUACGUGUUGAUUGGAUGCGGAGACACCUUUGGUUGUGAAUUCUAAUGUGGCAGAUCCAAUUCUUUAUCUGCAUGGCCAAAUCUAUAAUUCAAGUCACACACUCCCAUAAUCCGCCUUUUUUUCUUUUGUAAAAUUAACUUCAACUAUUUGUAUUACAUCAAAAUACUUCGGAGUUGAAGAGAAGUAUCCAAAUGACAUGUGUUAUUUUACAAUAACCCAUGUUUGUAGCAAUGAAAUACCACAACCUACCCAAUAUUAUAUAUGAGAAUUCUAAUUCUCUAUGAUAUGCCUUCCCUAUAAAGGACCCGAAAUACCUUGCUUACGUAUCAUUGGAAAGUGCAUUAACAUAAAUACGGCAGUAAGCAGAGGAAGUACAAAGGUAUGUAAACUAUAAAAACGAGUCAAAGUGGAUUGGCCCACACUAGCACUUCCACAUAAUAACUCCACUAGAGGCGAUCCUAUUACCGGAAUCGCAUCAGGUACACCUGUCACAAUUUUGACUGCCCAAUAACCAAUUUGAUCCCAAGGCAAAGAAUAACCCGUUACACCAAACGAUGCAGUCAAAACAGCCAAAACCACACCUGUGACCCAAGUUAAUUCGCGGGGUUUUUUAAAUCCACCUGUGAGAUACACACGAAAUACAUGUAGGAUCAUCAUUAGAACCAUCAUACUUGCUGACCAUCGAUGAACUGAUCGGAUUAACCAACCAAAGUUGGCCUCGGUCAUUAUGUAUUGAACCGAGGAAAAAGCCUCUGUAACAGUUGGGCGAUAGUAAAAAGUCAUAGCAAAUCCGACGCUGUAACAUAGUUGAGGUUGAAUCUAAAGGAUCUACUGCUGGAUAAAUACCCUUGGAAGCUAAUCCUUUGGAAAGUACGGUAGUAGCAUCCAAAUGGGCAAAUGUUGUGGCAGGAGCAGGGUCAGUCAAAUCGUCCGCAGGUACAUAAACCGCUUGGAUCGAAGUUAUAGAUCCCUUUUUAGUAGAAGCAAUUAUUUCUUGCAAAGAACCCAUUUCUGUACUAAGAGUAGGUUGAUAACCCACCGCGGAGGGCAUUCUCCCUAAUAAAGUGGAUACCUCCGAUCCUGCUUGAACAAAACGAAAGAUAUUAUCGAUGAAUAAAAGCACGUCUUGCUUAUUAACAUCUCGGAAAUAUUCCGCCAUAGUUCGGGCAGUUAAACCAACUCUCAUACGAGCUCCCGGUGGUUCAUUCAUUUGGCCAUAGACUAGAGCUACCUUUGAUUCCUCAAUAUUUUUUUCAUUAAUUACUCCGGAUUCCCUCAUUUCCAUACAAAGAUCAUUUCCUUCGCGAGUCCGUUCCCCUACUCCACCAAAUAUGGAUACGCCCCCAUGAGCUUUAGCAAUGUUGUUGAUUAAUUCCAUGAUGAGUACUGUUUUACCUACUCCAGCCCCCCCAAAUAGUCCUAUUUUUCUUCCACGUCGAUAAGGAGCUAAAAGAUCGACGACCUUAAUACCUGUUUCAAAGAUGGAUAAUUUCGUAUCUAACUCGAUAAAGGCAGGCGCAGAUCUAUGAAUAGGGAACGUUGCACUACUAUCUACAGGACCCAUUGUCAACAGGCUCCCCAAGAACGUUGAAAAUUCGCCCGAGAGUAGCUCCGCCGACCGGAACACUGAGAGGAGCUCCUGUGUCAAUCACUUCCAUUCCUCUCAUCAACCCAUCUGUAGCACUCAUAGCUACAGCUCUAACUCGAUUAUUUCCUAAUAAUUGUUGUACCUCACAAGUCACAUUAAUUUGCUUAUCGGCAGUGUCUCUACUCUUGACUACCAAAGCGUUAUAAAUAUAAGGUAACUUACCGGGGGGGAAAGUGACGUCCAGCACGGGUCCAAUAAUUUGAUCGAUACGGCCUGUACUUUUUUCUUCAAUUGGGGAAACCCCGGGACGAGAAGUAGUAGGAUUGGUUCUCAUAAUUAUCACAUAAUAAAAAAAAAGGAAUUUGUCGAAAAAAAAAUUUCUUGUUGAAUAAUACCAAAUCCAAAAAAAUAUCCAAAAAUCCAAAAGUAAAAAGGAAAUCAAUUAGUUAAUUCAAUAAGAGAAAAAAGGGGAACAGGACUUGAUUUCGUUGCCCAAGCGAAUCCCUUUCAACCCUUUACUCAUGGAAUGAGGCCGUUGGAAAGUUCAAUCAAUCUUUUUUUCAUAAGAUAGAUUUUUCCUUUUGUGGAGGAUCUGUGCCUACUCUACUUUCCUAUCUAGGACUUCGCUAUACAAAAUAUAUACUACUGUGAAGCAUAGAUUGCUGUCAACAGAAAAUUUUCUUAGUAUUUAGUUAGGUAUUUCUUUUCAAAAUAAGAAAGGGGCCCUUUAAUAAUUUGUAAAAAAAAAAGGUUAAGGAUUGAUUUGGGUUGCGCUAUAUCUAUCAAAGAGUAUACAAUAAUGAUGGAUUUGUUAAAUCAAAUCCUUGGUUUAAUAACGAACGGUGUUAACUUACCAUAACAACAACUCAAUUCCUAUCGAAUUCCUAUAGGAUAGAACAUACACAGGGUGUACGCAUUAUAUAUGAAUGAAAAAUAUUAAUUAACUUAAGCAUGCCCUCAAUUUUCUGUAAUGAGUUGCUAUUAAUUGAAUAUCUCUUUUUUUUAUGAGAUUUUUGCUAAAGUUUCAUUUACGCCUAAUUCACAUCGAGUAGACCUUGUUAUUGUGAGAAUUCUUAAUUCAAGAGUUGUAAGGAGGGACUUAUGUCACCACAAACAGAAACUAAAGCAAGUGUUGGAUUUAAAGCUGGUGUUAAAGAUUAUAGAUUGACUUACUACACCCCGGAGUAUGAAACCAAGGAUACUGAUAUCUUGGCAGCAUUCUGAGUAUCUCCUCAACCUGGGGUUCCGCCCGAAGAAGCAGGGGCUGCAGUAGCUGCCGAAUCUUCUACCGGUACAUGGACAACUGUUUGGACUGAUGGACUUACUAGUCUUGAUCGUUACAAAGGACGAUGCUAUCACAUCGAGCCUGUUCCUGGGGAAGACAGUCAAUGGAUCUGUUAUGUAGCUUAUCCAUUAGAUCUAUUUGAAGAGGGUUCCGUUACUAACAUGUUUACUUCCAUUGUAGGUAACGUAUUUGGUUUCAAAGCCCUACGUGCUCUACGUCUGGAGGAUCUACGAAUUCCCCCGACUUAUUCAAAAACUUUCCAAGGCCCGCCUCAUGGUAUCCAAGUGGAAAGAGAUAAGUUGAACAAGUAUGGUCGUCCUUUAUUGGGAUGUACUAUUAAGCCAAAAUUGGGAUUAUCUGCAAAACAUUACGGUAGAGCGUGUUAUGAGUGUCUAUGUGGUGGACUUGAUUUUACCAAAGAUGAUGAAAACGUAAAAUCACAACCAUUUAUGCGCUGGAGAGAUCGUUUUGUCUUUUGUGCCGAAGCUAUUUAUAAAUCACAGGCGGAAACCGGUGAAAUCAAGGGGCAUUACUUGAAUGCAACUGCGGGUACAUGUGAAGAAAUGAUGAAGAGAGCUGUUUUUGCGAGAGAAUUAGGUGUUCCUAUUGUAAUGCAUGACUACUUAACUGGGGGAUUCACCGCAAAUACUACUUUGGCUCAUUAUUGCCGCGACAAUGGCUUACUUCUUCACAUUCACCGUGCAAUGCAUGCAGUUAUUGAUAGACAGAAAAAUCAUGGUAUGCAUUUCCGUGUAUUAGCUAAAGCAUUGCGUAUGUCUGGGGGAGAUCAUAUCCACGCCGGUACAGUAGUAGGUAAGUUAGAAGGGGAACGCGAAAUCACUUUAGGUUUUGUUGAUUUAUUGCGCGACGAUUUUAUUGAAAAAGAUCGUGCUCGCGGUAUCUUUUUCACUCGGGACUGGGUAUCCAUGCCAGGUGUUAUACCAGUAGCUUCAGGUGGUAUUCAUGUUUGGCAUAUGCCAGCUCUGACCGAAAUCUUUGGGGAUGAUUCUGUAUUACAAUUUGGUGGAGGAACUUUAGGACAUCCUUGGGGAAAUGCACUUGGUGCAGCAGCUAAUCGAGUGGCUUUAGAAGCCUGUGUACAAGCUCGUAACGAAGGGCGCGAUCUUGCUCGUGAAGGUAAUGAAAUUAUCCGAGCAGCUUGCAAAUGGAGUCCUGAACUAGCCGCAGCUUGUGAAGUAUGGAAGGCGAUCAAAUUCGAGUUCGCGCCGGUAGAUACUAUCGAUUAAUAGAUAAAACUAAAUAUGAAGAAGGU